AUGCAAGAAAGGCUGCCGUUUCGUCCGAUCCGGCCAAGCAAAGGUAAGGGAGGUCUUACGUGUACCAGUCAACCCGCCAGACUCACCACCAUCCUCAAGUUACUGUCGCUGCUGCCCAUUUGUUGUGGAGUCGGCAGCAUCCGCUGCUCCUCGACGGCAGUCCAUGACAACAGCACGGACAUGAUCUCGCUGCUAGAUUUCAAGCGGGCCAUCACCAACGACUCAAGGCAAGCCUUGAGAUCUUGGCACGCCGGUGUCCCCCUUUGCACAUGGAAGGGCGUCGUCUGCAGCAGCCCGAAGCACCCAGGGCGAGUCAUGGAGCUGGACCUUCACUCCCUAUCGCUGUCAGGCACGAUUUCACCGUCCCUCGGGAAUCUAACGUUCCUUAGGAGUUAG
rnacentral:rRNA from 1 species